AGAGUGAACGCUGGCGGUAGGCCUAACACAUGCAAGUCGAACGGCAGCACGGUAAGAGCUUGCUCUUAUGGGUGGCGAGUGGCGGGACGGGUGAGGAAUACAUCGGAAUCUACCUUUUGGUGGGGGAUAACGGUAGGGAAACUUACGCUAAUACCGCAUACCGCCCGUUCGGGGGAAAGCCGGGGACCAGCAAGUGGCCUCGGCGCUGAUAGAUGAGCCGAUGUCGGAUUAGCUAGUUGGUGAGGUAAUGG
rnacentral:rRNA from 1 species